AUAUUAUAAGCAAAGACAAUGCGGGAAGCAAUCGUCUCUUCGGAGACAUCCGAUAAAAUUGGAACGAUACAGAGAAGAUUAGCAUGGCCCCUGCGCAAGGAUGACACGCACAAAUCGAGAAAUGUGAUUGGCUCUGUGUUGAUGGGUCUUCUUCUUCCAUUCCAUCCAUUGAAAUUCUUUGGGCAUCAUGGAAAGAAGAUAUCGUUUGCAGUGACAUGGAUGUUUGAUUGAUUAUAUUCACUUGAGUCAGCAAAAAAAAUUAUAGGUGGCAUUUUAUAUAAUGCAUUUACAGUUGAAUGACUUGAGUUCUGUAUGAUCAAUGCAGACUGCUGAUAACCUGUGAUUAAGGCUCAGGAUGGGCAUAAUAGAGGAUGUAUCAAGGUCACGGCUUUGCAUCUUUUCUUGUGAUGAGUAUUUCAUUCAUAUCACAGAGAUCCAGCUGAUGGAUUUUGGAGGCCUGACUGUGUUUGCAAUGUCUACGACAAAUCGGUAAUGGACAUCUCCUUUAGCUAGACGAUCCAUGGCUUUGUUCACAUAACCCAUUGAAAUAACUUCAACAUCUGCUGUUAUGUUGUGUUUUGCUGCGAAGGUUAACAUAUCUUGUGUCUCCUUCAUGCCCCCUGCUGAACUUCCUGCAAUCAUUUUUCUCUCUGCAUAGAAGUUCCAUUCCCUUUUAUGUAAUGCUUGAUGAUUUCUUUCUACUAUUCUUCGAAAACAUAUUUUUUAAAAGCAAAAUGAAAUGCUAGAGUAGAUUUCAGAUCCUAAAAGUUUAUUUCCAUAAACGAAAGUUAAACAUGGAAUGAAAAAACCAUGUUAACAGCUUUCUUACCGAAAAUUAAGGGCAUAAUUGAUAACUCUGUUUGUUUCUCCAAACCAGGGCCGCUCAACAUUAUUAGUUUUCCAUUGAACUUCAAGAGAUUUAGAAAUGGCAUCAAAGGAUGAUGUGGAUAGACUGUGUCAAAGAUUCCAUCCAUUGUACCCAUAGCUGCCUGCUCCAAUGUAAAGCAGUUACAAAAAAAAUUAGACACCAGAAUGUUUUGGUUGUCAUAAAGGGUUUGCAUUAGCUUUAACUAGUCUUUUACCUGCAUUUGCUUCAAGUCAUGACUAACAAUAAAUGAAUCGGCUUUAAGAUGUUGAAUUGCCUCUCUCAUUUUGCUUGGUGAUGUGCUUAUCACUGUCACCUUCAUGCCAAACGCUUUGGCAAACUUCACUGCUAGAUGCCCUAACCCACCAAGACCAACCACACCCACAUGCAUUCCAGGCUUGUCAAGUCCAUAAAAUUUCAUGGGACUAAAGACUGUAAUCCCUGCACCAAGUAAUGGUGCCACGCCCUCUAAAGAAAGAUUUUCAGGAAUAGAAAAGGCAAAGUGUUGAUCAACAACAAAAAUAUCAGAAAAUCCUCCAUAUUUUUUAUCCCCACCAUUGUCAAAGAUUGUGGUGGUGUGCAUCCUUUUAGGGCAAUAGUUUUCCAAGUCAUUUUGGCACUGAUCACAGCUGCCACAUGAGCCUAUUAGGCCUCCCACUCCUGCCUUAUCUCCUAAUUUGAAAUUUCGCACUUUGGUCCCCACUUGAGUUACCACACCAACAAUCUCAUGCCUGCGAGACACAAAGCAAUAAAUCAAAUUGGGUAUGAUUUUAGAAGACAAUUUGGAGAAUGGAUUGUGUUUUAAGAACAUUAAUAUACCCAGGAACAAUAGGAUAGGAGGAAAUUCCGAGAUCGUUCCUAAUUAAGUGCAAGUCAGAAUGACGAAUCCCACAAUAUAGAAUCUUUAUUGUAAUAUCAUUCUGACCAUUUACCCUGCAUUAGCAACAGAAAUCAUACCUGUUUGGGGUUAAAUUCAUAGAAACACAAAGAAGAAUGAGGGCAUUAAUGUACCUCUAGUGAAAUGGAAAGGGUGGAGAAUUCCUGAAGAAUCUGUAGCUGCCCAUCCAAAGGCAAUUUGAUGAGAUUGCUCUUCUUGCAAUUCUGACAUGUUGUGUUAGAGAUUUGAAUAUUCAGUAAUAAAUUUCAAUCUGGUUUAUUAGUCCUCUAUAUUUUGUUGGACUCUCUUAUUUAUAAUCUAAUUUUCAAGAAAAGUAAUGUCAUGGCUGAGGUUUGCUCUUGGUCAAAAUAUUUGUUUUAAAUUGCUUGUACUUGGAAUGGAUGGUGGAAAUGGCGGCUAGUUUGCCUCUUUUACAAGAAAUAUUUACUAAAGGUCUGAGAUGUGCAAGCUGAUUACAGUUUUUUCA